rnacentral:rRNA from 1 species
UCUACGGGAGGCCGCAGUGGGGAAUAUUGGGCAAUGGGCGCAAGCCUGACCCAGCAACGCCGCGUGAAGGCAGAAGGCUUUCGGGUUGUAAACUUCUUUUCUGAGGGACGAAGAAAGUGACGGUACCUCAGGAAUAAGCCACGGCUAACUACGUGCCAGCAGUCGCGGUAGUACGUAGGUGGCAAGCGUUAUCCGGAUUUAUUGGGUGUAAAGGGCGUGGAGGCGGGAAAGCAAGUCAGAUGUGAAAAUUCAGGGCUCAACACUGGGCCUGGAUUUGAACCUGUUUUUCUUGAGUGCUGGAGAGGCAAGCGGAAUGCCGGGUGUAGCGGUGAAAUGCGUAGAUAUACGGAGGAACACCAGUGGCGAAGGCGGAUUGCUGGACAGUAACUGACGCUGAGGCGCGAAAGCGUGGGGAGCAAACAGGAUUAGAUACCCUUGUAGUC